CAGGCCUAACACAUGCAAGUCGAACGAGCUGAGACCUUCGGGUCUCGAUGCUAGUGGCGCACGGGUGAGUAACGCGUGGGAACGUACCCUUUAGUACGGAAUAACCAAGGGAAACUUUGGCUAAUACCGUAUACGCCCUUCGGGGGAAAGAUUUAUCGCUAAAGGAUCGGCCCGCGUCUGAUUAGGUAGUUGGUGAGGUAACGGCUCACCAAGCUGACGAUCAGUAGCUGGUCUGAGAGGAUGAUCAGCCACACUGGGGCUGAGACACGGCCCAGACUCCUCCGGGAGGCAGCAGUGGGGAAUAUUGGACAAUGGGCGAAAGCCUGAUCCAGCCAUGCCGCGUGAGUGAAGAAGGCCUUCGGGUUGUAAAGCUCUUUCGACGGGGACGAUGAUGACGGUACCCGUAUAAGAAGCCCCGGCAAACUUCGUGCCAGCCGCCGCCGCCGUAA
rnacentral:rRNA from 1 species